rnacentral:rRNA from 1 species
GACGUAGGGCGCGAGCGUUGUCCGGAUUUAUUGGGCGUAAAGAGCGUGUAGGCGGCUAGGUAGGUCCGUUGUGAAACUCGAGGCUCAACCUCGAGCUGUCGAUGGAAACCAUCUGGCUAGAGUCCGGAAGAGGAGAGUGGAAUUCCUGGUGUAGCGGUGAAAUGCGCAGAUAUCAGGAAGAACACCCGUGGCGAAGGCGGCUCUCUGGUACGUGACUGACGCUGAGACGCGAAAGCGUGGGGAGCGAAACAGGAUUAGAACCUACCGUGUCAG